GGACACAGCUAUGAACACAAGGCAACAGGCAGCAAAAGAGGGAGAGGGAUGCCACCUGCUAUGUGACGUCAGAAGUGAACUAUCAAUAUUGGCUUCUGUGCUUUGUAAAUCUCUGGCUAAUAAGGCUGCACUGUCAAAGGUCACGUUAUCUGCAGUUCUGUUGUCCGCGAUUGUAGCCAAGAACUGAAUUCCCGUCAAUAAUGAGGUCCAACUGUAUGGUCCCGCUUUCCACAGAAACCAUUGGUAAAUCAGCCGAGGACCUGUUUAAAAUGUGCCAGUUCUACAGACAACCCAAAGAAAAAGCUAUAUCUGUGAACCACUGAAGCAGGAGGGCAAGGAAAGAGAGAGUCACCACACACCUCACCAGCCCUUCAUCUCCGGUCAAGAAUAGGUGACUUACUUGACAUCCUUCUCCAGAGCCAUUAAUGCCACUUAAGAAGCAUCAGGCUGGGCCAUUGGGGCUAUUGUCUAGCAAUCUACCUAACAAAAGAGUUGGCCAGCUAGCCAUGUCUUCAUCCAUCACAACAUGCUAUUUACAUGGCCUCCAUUUAGGUAUACCUGUUUAAGGUCUAAUUCAUAGGAGCUUACUGUUUUAUUCUGUUUUAUUCUGUUUACUAUGUAUAAUAUUUUGUUUUAAUGCUUUUUUAUGUCUUUUGUAUGGCCUAUGGCUGUAAUAAAAUUGAUUGAUCAUUUAGGUA